rnacentral:tRNA from 4 species
GCGGGCGUAGUUCAGUGGUAGAACGUCAGCUUCCCAAGCUGAAUGUCGCCAGUUCAAUCCUGGUCGCCCGCUCCA